GCGGAGGUUAAGAAGGUGACGCCAGUUCAGACCAUUUGGCUCUCACUGAUACACACCUCCUACAGCCAAGCAGCUGAGAGAACAACUUAAGCCUCUAGAAAGAGCUUAGGUUACAUCUCCGCGUACAAGA
rnacentral:scRNA from 1 species